ensembl:snRNA U2 U2 spliceosomal RNA
AAAAAAAAAAAAAAAAAAUCUGUUCUUAUCAGUUUAAUAUCUGAUACGUCCCCUAUCUGGGGACCAUAUAUUAAAUGGAUUUUUGGAACAGGGAGAUGGAAGAAGAGCUUGCUCUGUCCACUCCACGCAUCGACCUGGUAUUGCAGUACCUCCAGGACCGGUGCACCUCUC